rnacentral:rRNA from 1 species
AUAAUGGGUCAGCGACUUAUAUUCUGUAGCAAGGUUAACCGAAUAGGGGAGCCGAAGGGAAACCGAGUCUUAACUGGGCGUUAAGUUGCAGGGUAUAGACCCGAAACCCGGUGAUCUAGCCAUGGGCAGGUUGAAGGUUGGGUAACACUAACUGGAGGACCGAACCGACUAAUGUUGAAAAAUUAGCGGAUGACUUGUGGCUGGGGGUGAAAGGCCAAUCAAACCGGGAGAUAGCUGGUUCUCCCCGAAAGCUAUUUAGGUAGCGCCUCGUGAAUUCAUCUCCGGGGGUAGAGCACUGUUUCGGCAAGGGGGUCAUCCCGACUUACCAACCCGAUGCAAACUGCGAAUACCGGAGAAUGUUAUCACGGGAGACACACGGCGGGUGCUAACGUCCGUCGUGAAGAGGGAAACAACCCAGACCGCCAGCUAAGGUCCCAAAGUCAUGGUUAAGUGGGAAACGAUGUGGGAAGGCCCAGACAGCCAGGAUGUUGGCUUAGAAGCAGCCAUCAUUUAAAGAAAGCGUAAUAGCUCACUGGUCGAGUCGGCCUGCGCGGAAGAUGUAACGGGGCUAAACCAUGCACCGAAGCUGCGGCAGCGACGCUGAUGCGUUGUUGGGUAGGGGAGCGUUCUGUAAGCCUGCGAAGGUGUGCUGUGAGGCAUGCUGGAGGUAUCAGAAGUGCGAAUGCUGACAUAAGUAACGAUAAAGCGGGUGAAAAGCCCGCUCGC